CUUUAUUCUGUUCAGUUAGAAAAUAGUUUGAACAGUUGGUCUUAAAUGUAUCUAAAUUGUCUAUGUCUUUAAUAUUUUUUGGUAAAUUAUUCCAGGUAAUAAGACCAGAAUAUUUAAAUGUUCUUUUUAAAAAAUCAGAAUUAGGUCUUGGUACAUGGAGAAGUCCUGAUGUUGUCGACCUCAGACAAUAAUUAUAAAGAUCAGCACAAGCAGUAAAUUUAAUAGAUAGAUAAUCAGGUGCUAGACCAUUCAUACAUUUAAACAUUAACACAGCUUGAAAAUAGUGUAUCCUCGUAAAUAUAGUCAUCCAUGCAAGUUUUUUAAACAUUACUGUUG
rnacentral:lncRNA from 1 species